UACGGAGUGUGCAAGCGUUACUCGGAAUCACUGGGCAUAAAGCGCGCGUAGGCGGGCUUUCAAGUCGGUUGUGAAAUCCCUCAGCUCAACUGAGGAACUGCAUCCGAUACUGUUUGUCUUGAGGACGAGAGGGGAGAGUGGAACUUCUGGUGGAGCGGUGAAAUGCGUAGAUAUCAGAAGGAACGCCGGUGGCGAAAGCGACAUCCUGGACCGGUAUUGACGCUGAGGCGCGAAAGCCAGGGGAGCAAACGGG
rnacentral:rRNA from 1 species